rnacentral:rRNA from 1 species
AGAGUUUGAUCCUGGCUCAGGACGAACGCUGGCGGCGUGCCUAACACAUGCAAGUCGAGCGAUGAAACCUUAACAGAUUCCUUCGGGAUGAAGACUAGGUGGAUUAGCGGCGGACGGGUGAGUAACACGUGAGUAACCUGCCUUUGACACAGGGAUAGCCAUGGGAAACCGUGAUUAAUACCAGAUGAAAUCUAAACUACACAUGUAGCAAAGAUCAAAGCGAAUAAGCGGUCAAAGAUGGACUCGCGUCUGAUUAGCUAGUUGGUGAGAUAAAAGCUCACCAAGGCGACGAUCAGUAGCCGGCCUGAGAGGGUGAACGGCCACAUUGGAACUGAGACACGGUCCAAACUCCUACGGGAGGCAGCAGUGGGGAAUAUUGCACAAUGGGGGGAACCCUGAUGCAGCGACGCCGCGUGAGCGAAGAAGGGAUUCGUUUCGUAAAGCUCUGUCCUAUGGGAAGAUAAUGACGGUACCAUAGAAGAAAGCCCCGGCUAACUACGUGCCAGCAGCCGCGGUAAUAC